rnacentral:rRNA from 1 species
UCUGGUUGAUCCUGCCAGUAGUCAUAUGCUUGUCUCAAAGAUUAAGCCAUGCAUGUCUAAGUACAAACCUUAAUACGGUGAAACCGCGAAUGGCUCAUUAAAUCAGCUAUGGUUCCUUAGAUCGUCUCAUCCUACUCGGAUAACUGUGGAAAAUCUAGAGCUAAUACGUGCUUACAAGCCCUGACCUCACGGGAGGGGCGCAUUUAUUAGAUCAAAACCAAUCGGGGCUUGCCCCGUCUGCUUGGUGACUCUGGAUAACUUUUGUGCUGAUCGCAUGGCCUCUGCGCUGGCGACGUAUCUUUCAAGUGUCUGCCCUAUCAACUUACGAUGGUAGGUGAUAUGCCUACCAUGGUUAUAACGGGUAACGGGGAAUCAGGGUUCGAUUCCGGAGAGGGAGCCUGAGAAACGGCUACCACAUCUAAGGAAGGCAGCAGGCGCGCAAAUUACCCACUCCCGGCACGGGGAGGUAGUGACGAAAAAUAACGAUACGGGACUCUUUUGAGGCCCCGUAAUUGGAAUGAGUACACUUUAAAUCCGUUAACAAGUAUCUAUUGGAGGGCAAGUCUGGUGCCAGCAGCCGCGGUAAUUCCAGCUCCAAUAGCGUAUAUUAAUGUUGCUGCAGUUAAAAAGCUCGUAGUUGGAUCUGAGGACUCGAAUUGGUGGUGCACCAUACGGUGUUACUGCCGAUUCGGCCUACCUAGUCGGUGCUCGCUCUUGGUGUUCUUAAUUGAAUGCCCUGAGUGCCCGGCAAGUUUACUUUGAAAAAAUUAGAGUGCUCAAAGCAGGCCAUUAGCCGGAAUACUUCAGCAUGGAAUAAUGGAAUAGGACUUCGGUUCUAUUUUGUUGGUUUUCGGAACCCGAGGUAAUGAUUAAGAGAGACAGACGGGGGCAUUCGUACUGCGGUGUUAGAGGUGAAAUUCUUGGAUCGCCGCAAGACGAACAACUGCGAAAGCAUUUGCCAAGAAUGUUUUCAUUAAUCAAGAACGAAAGUCAGAGGUUCGAAGACGAUCAGAUACCGUCCUAGUUCUGACCAUAAACGAUGCCAACUGGCGAUCCGAGAUCGUUUGCUUAUUGACCUCUCGGGCAGCCUCCGGGAAACCAAAGUUUUUAGGUUCCGGGGGAAGUAUGGUUGCAAAGCUGGAACUGUUCAAUUGCAACUCUGCCUGUGACACCAAGUGGUCGGGUUACUUGGUCUGUUCUGGCCCGGAGUCGGUAGGGUUUCCGGCCUUGUGCUCUUUCCUUACUGUUCUCUGUAACGCCGAAGGCGGGGCUUCCACGGUGGGGAAGCGGUUGUACAAAUCCGGCAAAUCCAGCCAAAUGGGUUCCGGACUCUGUCCAACCUGCAACUGGUAACAGCCUCGGCUGGCUAACAUUUGAGCUGGGACUCGCUUGGAGGAGCGAGGAUAAUAUAAACCUCUAUGUGACUGAGGUGAGGAAUCUGGUUCUCGUAAAAUGGCUGGAGAUCCCGAGCCUGUAAGUCAUAAAUUAGUUCCCCCACGAGGGAGGUGUCGAAUUGAAGCCAGUGCGUGCCUUACUAGUUUAAGGGAUUGUAUACUUCCUUUGGUGUACCCACCUGGAAGUGCCCAAGGGGUCCUAUCCCUGCACUCCAUCCCCGAUUGGAGUCAGGUGACGGCUCCUUA